UACAGAGGUCCCGAGCGUUGUUCGGAUUCAUUGGGCGUAAAGGGUGCGUAGGUGGCGCCGUAAGUGGGGUGUGAAAUCCCGGGGCUUAACCCCGGGACUGCAUUCCAUACUGCGGUGCUUGAGGACUGGAGAGGAGACUGGAAUUUACGGUGUAGCAGUGAAAUGCGUAGAGAUCGUAAGGAAGACCAGUGGCGAAGGCGGGUCUCUGGACAGUUCCUGACACUGAGGCACGAAGGCCGGGGGAGCAAACGGG
rnacentral:rRNA from 1 species